CCGCAUGCAGGGGGAUACCAGCUGGAAACAGCUGCUAAUACCGCAUAUGCGCACGGCGCCGCAUGGCGCAGUGCGGAAAGGGAGCAAUCCCGGCAUGCGAUGGGUCCGCGUCCGAUUAGCUUGUUGGCGGGGCAGCGGCCCACCAAGGCGACGAUCGGUAGCCGGCCUGAGAGGGCGGACGGCCACAUUGGGACUGAGACACGGCCCAGACUCCUACGGAAGGCAGCAG
rnacentral:rRNA from 1 species